UAACGAACAAAGUGCCACCAUGUGCCAGGCACUAGUUGACUUCUGAAGAGAGGGGUAUAUGUCAAGACAUUUGUUAGCCACCCACCAGCCUCUGAAUUUAAGCCUGCCAGUAAGCCCCAUCCUUCAGGACACAGAGCUUGGUCAAGGAGGGGCCCACAACCCUAUCUCUUACCCCCUACUCCCUAGCCCCUAGCCAAUCAGGUCCAACAAGACUUAAUUUCAGGAAUGUUGUUUGAGGAAUAGAGAAGUUGACUUUCUCAUUCCUGCAGGAUAUGAUCUCAUAAGGCUGAAUUCCCACUGGUGACCCCGAGGCCCACAAGGGAAGCCAGCCUUAAGAUGAAGGCAGCAUCAUGGGAGGCAGAACAGAGGAAACUAGAGUCUUUGGUGACAUGUGAGCUGCUGAAUCAAACUUCCUUCCCGAAGCUAGCCCUCCCACCUCCAUUUCUCUUAGGUAAAUGUACCAAUCAUUCCUUUCAGUCACUUUGAGUUGAGUUUCUGCUCUUGCAACAUGAAGCAUCCAGAAGAGGCCAGAGAAUCAGAGGAAGCCGAAGCUUUAACACUUCAGGACCUGCUGAGGAGUCGGGUGAAUCCUCAGUUUGGGACACUCCCAACACCCCCAUCCAGC
rnacentral:lncRNA from 10 species